rnacentral:misc_RNA from 1 species
UGUAUUAAUUUAAUCAAAAGUAAUAUUCCCCUGAAAAAGUAGUAAGUUAGACUUAUAUAUGCGACUGAAUCCCUAAUUCCCUAAAUCAAAAAAAUAAAAUAAGACCCUAAAAACUAAUUAAAAAGCUAGAGUGACUGCACUCCUACCUAAGGCCCAAAAACUCAUAAAUAAGGCCCAACACACAUAAGUCUGACAAAACAUAAUUAAAUAAAACCAUUUAGAACUGUCCUAGAUAAAGAAAAAACACUAAAUUUACGUAGAAACUUGUCAAUUCUGUCUAAAUAUUUCUAGAUCAUCUCCCACGCAAACUUGAAUCAAAUUAAGUCACUUUCCAUUUUCUUGUAACCUC